AAAAGAACUCUGAAGAGAGGGUGCAAAGCGCGUGAAACCGCCAAGGGGUAAACUGGCUGAGCCGAGAGACGUGUCCUGCCGGGGCGGCUGGUCGUCGUUCCUUCUCGUCGGGGCUCGCUCUGUUAAAGGGGCGAGCCCUCGUUACGGGGGAGGAAUGUCGCGUGUCCAACCCCGGUAGGUCUCCGCCGUCACCGGCACCGGGCCGUCUCGCUCUCUCGCCCUCCCGUGGGUCGUCGGCCUCGGGGUUCUACGGGGCGCGGAGUAGGCGAGAGCGGUCGCUGGUGCCGAGGACGACCGCGGGCAAGGGGCCGUCGGCGUUCGCGCUCUCUUCGCGGGGCGCGUGGGUCGUCGCCCGCCCGUCGAAAGGUGUACGGCGUUCAUUCCGGUACCUGCCCGACCCGUCUUGAA
rnacentral:rRNA from 1 species